AGAGUAUAAAGAGAACAUUCAUUUGGUUGAAAUUUGUAAUGCAAAAUUUAGGGGAAAACAAGCUUGAAAACAGAAGAAAUAAUCAUGAAGAAGAAAGGACAAAAGGCAGGUGUUUGCAUAAUAGAGAAGAUGGUGUUCCUCGCUUAAAUUAGAUGAAAAUCCCUUCGUUUCAGAAGAGGAUUUAUCCACAGUUCUCUAUUUCUACAACUGGGUCAAGAAUCUGUCUGCUGGAGAGACUAUUUAGGGAAGAUACAUAUAUGUCAGGGCUGCCUGUUUUUAUCAUACAGGCCCUAGUAUCAAUGAUUGGCUGACUUGAUUCAGAAAGUGUUGGAGAAAAUCCCUAAGCCCGAUGAGGUGAUGAGAUUCUGUAGUGCCCAUGGAGUACCAAUCAGUUAUGUUGAGAAUGCUAGUGAUCCAUAAAAAGACCAGAUGGAGGAGGGCAGAACUUGAAAAGCUGUGGAUUUGGCAACAAUCAUACUUUGACAUGCCAGGUAACUGCUGAUGGAUUGCAGGGAACAAAAGCUGAAGAGAGUGCAAAUAGUUCGCUGGGAUCUAAAACUUAUGUGAAUGUGCAGGAGUUGCAGGGCGUAGAAACUGAAGCAAAAUCCAGAGGUAGCCUCCAAGGGGUGGGCUUCCAAGGUGGAGAGCUUGGGUAUAAAUCCUUCGGGAGCAUACUGAGAUAAUACUCUUGAUUUAUUGGUCACUAGACCCGAGGGGUCAAGUGGGGUUUCUCAUUAUCAAGAAAAGAAAAAACCCAAGAGCUACAAAAGGAAACAGAAUCAUUUAUCUUCAUAAAUUAGGGACUAAGACAAUCAUGUUUGUGCCAUCUGUCAAGAAAAUUGAUGCAGGAAGGAUUGAUUGUCAAUCCUCAAGCAAAGUUUUCCUUCCCAAUUACAGAAUGUGUUAUGCAAAAUGGGUGUCAAAAUGUUAUGUGUUUUUAUCAUUUGGAGAAAGGGACUUUUACCUUUCUUUUAUUUAAAAUUAAAAAAGUUAAUUGGUCUCUCUCAUCAAAA